AAAAAAAUUGCACGAGUCAGAUGACAGUGAAGAUGAAGAUGACUCAAUUAGCCGUUUUCAUUGUUGAUGUCGUUGUUGGUUGUGAGGGGGAGGAGGAGAAGAGGAGAUGAGUAUUUUCCAUUGUUUUUUGCCUUUACUUUUAAUUUGUGAAUAAAUGUGAGUUUUGGGAUGAAGAUGAAAUUGGUUUGUUUCACAGA